rnacentral:rRNA from 1 species
CGGGUGGCUGCAGCAGUGGGGAAUAUUGCACAAUGGAGGAAACUCUGAUGCAGCAACGCCGCGUGGAGGAUGACACUUUUCGGAGCGUAAACUCCUUUUAUAUAGGAAGAAGAUGACGGUACUAUAUGAAUAAGCGCCGGCUAACUCCGUGCCAGCAGCCGCGGUAAUACGGGGGGCGCAAGCGUUACUCGGAAUCACUGGGCGUAAAGAGCGUGUAGGCGGAUUAAAAAGUCAGAAGUGAAAUCCUAUAGCUUAACUAUAGAACUGCUUCUGAAACUCUUAAUCUAGAAUAUGGGAGAGGUAGAUGGAAUUUCUGGUGUAGGGGUAAAAUCCGUAGAGAUCAGAAGGAAUACCGAUUGCGAAGGCGAUCUACUAGAACAUUAUUGACGCUGAGACGCGAAAGCGUGGGGAGCAAACAGGAUUAGAUACCCGCGUAGUC